rnacentral:rRNA from 1 species
UGGGGAAUUGUUCGCAAUGGGCGCAAGCCUGACGACGCAACGCCGCGUGGAGGAUGAAGAUCUUCGGGUCGUAAACUCCUUUCGAUCGAGACGAACGGCCUCUGGGUGAACAAUCCAGGGGAGUGACGGUACCGAGAGAAGAAGCCCCGGCUAACUCCGUGCCAGCAGCCGCGGUAAUACGGGGGGGCAAGCGUUGUUCGGAAUUACUGGGCGUAAAGGGCUCGUAGGUGGCCAACUAAGUCAGACGUGAAAUCCCUCGGCUUAACCGGGGAACUGCGUCUGAUACUGGAUGGCUUGAGUUUGGGAGAGGGACGCGGAAUUCCAGGUGUAGCGGUGAAAUGCGUAGAUAUCUGGAGGAACACCGGUGGCGAAGGCGGCGUCCUGGACCAACACUGACACUGAUGAGCGAAAGCCAGGGGAGCAAACGGGGAUUAGAUACCCCGGUAGUCCUGGCCCUAAACGAUGAAUGCUUGGUGUGGCGGGUAUCGAUCCCUGCCGUGCCGAAGCUAACGC